rnacentral:rRNA from 1 species
GAUGAACGCUAGCGACAGGCUUAACACAUGCAAGUCGAGGGGCAGCACAGGUAGCAAUACCGGGUGGCGACCGGCGCACGGGUGAGUAACGCGUAUGCAACUUACCUAUCAGAGGGGGAUAACCCGGCGAAAGUCGGACUAAUACCGCAUGAAGCAGGGGUCCCGCAUGGGGAUAUUUGCUAAAGAUUCAUCGCUGAUAGAUAGGCAUGCGUUCCAUUAGGCAGCUGGCGGGGUAACGGCCCACCAAACCGACGAUGGAUAGGGGUUCUGAGAGGAAGGUCCCCCACAUUGGUACUGAGACACGGACCAAACUCCUACGGGAGGCAGCAGUGAGGAAUAUUGGUCAAUGGGCGUAAGCCUGAACCAGCCAAGUCGCGUGAGGGAUGAAGGUUCUAUGGAUCGUAAACCUCUUUUAUAAGGGAAUAAAGUGCGGGACGUGUCCUGUUUUGUAUGUACCUUAUGAAUAAGGAUCGGCUAACUCCGUGCCAGCAGCCGCAGUAA